AGGGUAUGGGAGAAAAAUGCUUCCUUCAGCUUUGUCCAUCCUGAGAAAGGAGAAAAUUCUUAUUUGUCUUUCUGAGGACUUGAACAGUACUGUGAAGCUUGUCAGUGAUAACUUUAUCCAAUGUAAUACUGACUGUUUGGUGGUUGCAUGGCUGUUCCAUGUGAUCUGCCCAAGCUCCUCAACCUGGAGUCCCUGUGAAGGCAAUCAUUUGCCUAAGUGAAGACUCAGAGUGAAGAGAAAUGUGCCUUCUGCUGAUAAUGUACCUGAAGGGUGGUGAAGAUCACUGAUGUUUGCCUCAAUGAGCAAGGUGAAAAAACAAGAAACUCGUACUUCAUUUAAGGAUCAGAGAGAGAGGGAGACACAGAAUCUGAAGCAGGUU